GAAAAAAUAUUGGUAGGGAAGACGUGUGUUAAUGGAUUUUAUGGUGCAGAUGAAUCAAAAGGAAAAAUACAGGCUAGAGUAUUACUAGUAGAGAGGAACAAGAAGCUGGUAGUAGUGUAGAAAAUUGGGCCAUCUAAGUAUAGAAAACACAAUGGAGUUGUCCAAGAAAACAUUGGGAAUAAAAAGCCUAGAACAAGGGCAAAAAGGCAGCUUGAAAUUAUACAUUCUGAUAUAUGUGGACCUAGAGAGCCAGUGACAUGUAACAGAAAUAGCAGCAGAAGCAAAGUGGAACAAC